AACAGCCUUUUGGAGCGAAAGGCCAAGUUACGAGGGGUGAGCCAAGGGAAGGGGCUGUCCCGGGGAGACGGAGGGUUGGACACAUCCCCCUCAAAAGUCAAUGGGGAAUCACAGAGACACUCCCCGAAUAAUAGACCGAAUGGGGAUGAGCUGAUAUAUUCAAAUAGUCCAUCUUGGAGGCCCGCACCGGCUAACAGUGGGUCCUCACAGUCCUCCACUCCAUCUCAGCCUGGACACAGACAAGACAAACCCAGGAAAAUGAACACACUUCUCAGCCGGGACUCCCUCAUCGUCUGAAGGACCACGCGCUUUUCGAGUAAGCAGUGACCUUACAGAAAUUAUGGCACAUAACAAGGUCCUAUGUGUUUGUGGGAGGGGAGGAGGUACAAGUGAGAUCCACUCUCUACUCGCCCUGUCUCUCAGCUGGACCAGAACUGAACCAAGGCUGGACUAAAGUUGACUUGGUGCGUGACCUGGACUGUCCCGUGAAUAGACUGAAGUACUAAGACGACUCGGGACAAUGAGUGGUCUCUUGUGUGAAAGAGGCUGCUCCAGUGUUGAAAGUGAACACAAGACAGUUCUGUUUGUGCUGAGUACCACUUUCUGACAUUUGUUUUAAAUAACUCAUAGCUCAAGCAUCUAAUUCAAUGUUAAAGAAAAAUCUAAAAAUGUAUGUUUGCAAAGUAAUUGAUUAAGGAGCUAAAACGGCAACAAAGAGACAUACUAACACAACUGACCACACAUGCACUUGUUGGCAUCAUCUUUUCACUUUUGGGUUUUGUUAGUAACUUAAGUGAAACAUGUUAUACAGAAUGUUCAGUAUGUUGAAUUGCGAACCAUUUCUUGACGCCAAUAUUUGGAACUAUAAUGUAAACAUGUGAACUUACUCUUCAAAGUCAAAUCAGUCCUUUGAAAACACUGAUAAAUUGAGAACUUGGAGGUCACAUUCCCAGUGUUUUAUAAUGUACUGUAAGUGUACAUAUUUGAAGUUUACAGGUUGGUUUGUCUCCUCCUUGUGGCCAGUGAAGUGUUUGCUACACAGCACAACCAUAAUGUGCUAAUAUUGUAUUACUUUACUGUAAUGCACCAUUGUGUAAAUAUUAAUAUUAUAAUAUUAUUUGUUAUUUUAUACUUACAUUUUUAUAGAAACCUAAACCUAUUUAUAUUUGUCUAAAUGUGGUGUACAUUUUGUCUUGUAAAUGAAUCAUCCCCUGCUGGUGUUCUUAUCGCCACUUUCCCUUAUCUGUAGUAAAUACUCUCUGUGUAUAACAAUGUUGAUUGUAGAGAUAAUUUGUGUUGUUUUUGUGAUAAAGUACUGAUAAUGCUCAUUACAUUAACAUUAAUCAAAUGUUACAUAGCAAUUUGAAGUACCAUAUUCUCUAAACUGGCACUCACUAACACUACUCUUAUCUCCAAAGGUCUCUGAUUAAGGCUUAGGCUACUAGAAUGUGUUGAAAGGUUGACGUUCGAUGUAAUUAAGAAUCCAAUGUUAAACUCUUUAAGUGAAAACUUUAUUUUAUGUUAUUAACACAUCAUUUUAUAAAUAUUUGUAUAAAAUAGAAAGCUGGUGUCAUUGUGUACAUGUGUAAUCAUCUGAAUUUUUGCUUUACUUUUAGAUUUACUUAAAUGUGCUUUGAAUUACAAAAAAGUUACAAUUAGUUUAUUGUAAUUACAAAUGGUAAUAAAACAGUGGGGAUAAACAAGAAUAAAUGCUGCAGAAUAUGAUUAAAAUACUAAUUAUAAUAUCUCUUAGUCUUGGUUAAAUUCAACUAGCGUUAAAUUCGGAUUAUGCGGCAACUGGGCGACCUGGAUCAAUCAUCAAUGUGCUAUAUUGUGAUUGUUUGGUGCCACAUGACUUGAAAACAAAAACAAACACUUGGGUCGAUAGUAAGUAUGUAUAACAAUGAACUAGUAUACUGUAUAUGAUGGAUAAAUUCCAAGUGUCGCGUUCACCUGUGGGGCCAGGGGCUAUGUUUCGGGCUUGCAUUUGUAUUUGUUUGAG
ensembl:lncRNA